GAUGAACGCUGGCGGCGUGCCUAAUACAUGCAAGUCGAGCGAACAGACGAGAGUGCUUGCACUCUCUGACGUUAGCGGCGGACGGGUGAGUAACACGUGGGUAACCUACCUAUAAGACUGGGAUAACUUCGGGAAACCGGAGCUAAUACCGGAUAAUAUUUAGCUUCGCAUGAAGCAAUAGUGAAAGACGGUUCUGCUGUCACUUAUAGAUGGACCCGCGGUGUAUUAGCUAGUUGGUGAGGUAACGGCUCACCAAGGCAACGAUACAUAGCCGACCUGAGAGGGUGAUCGGCCACACUGGGACUGAGACACGGCCCAGACUCCUACGGGAGGCAGCAGUAGGGAAUCUUCCGCAAUGGACGAAAGUCUGACGGAGCAAUGCCGCGUGAGUGAAGAAGGUUUUCGGGUCGUAAAACUCUGUUGUAAGGGAAGAACAAGUACGUUAGUAACUGAACGUACCUUGACGGUACCUUACCAGAAAGCCACGGCUAACUACGUG
rnacentral:rRNA from 1 species